CCCUUAGAUGUUCUGGGCCGCACGCGCGCUACACUGAUACAUGCAACGAGUUUAUGACCUUGAUCUGACGGUCUGGGUAAUCUUCAAACUGUAUCGUGUUAGGGAUCGAUUCUUGCAAUUUUUAAUCGUAAACGAGGAAUUCCUAGUAAACGCAAGUCAUCAGCUUGCAUUGAUUACGUCCCUGCCCUUUGUACACACCGCCCGUCGACUCUACCGAUUGAAUGGUUCGGUGAAAACUUUGGACUGUGGCAUUGUCCUUCAUUGGACUUCGCCGUAGGAAAUUGUUUAAACCUCAUCAUUUAGAGGAAGAAUAAGUCGUAACA
rnacentral:rRNA from 1 species